ACCAGACUCCUACGGGAGGCAGCAGUGGGGGAUAUUGCACAAUGGGGGGAACCCUGAUGCAGCGACGCCGCGUGGGUGAAGAAGCGCCUCGGCGCGUAAAGCCCUGUCAGCAGGGAAGAAAAUGACGGUACCUGAAGAAGAAGCCCCGGCUAACUACGUGCCAGCAGCCGCGGUAAUACGUAGGGGGCAAGCGUUAUCCGGAUUUACUGGGUGUAAAGGGGGCGUAGACGGCGAUGCAAGCCAGGAGUGAAAGCCCGGGGCCCAACCCCGGGACUGCUCUUGGAACUGCGUGGCUGGAGUGCAGGAGGGGCAGGCGGAAUUCCUGGUGUAGCGGUGAAAUGCGUAGAUAUCAGGAGGAACACCGGUGGCGAAGGCGGCCUGCUGGACUGCAACUGACGUUGAGGCCCGAAAGCGUGGGGAGCAAACAGGAUUAGAUACCCGCGUAU
rnacentral:rRNA from 1 species